rfam:Myotis brandtii contig246733, whole genome shotgun sequence.
UGUGGUUCUCGGGUGAUGCACACUGGAAUUGGGCUCCCUCCUCUCUGGUUCCGGGUGUGUCACCCGAGAACCACA